rnacentral:lncRNA from 1 species
GUAACCUGGCAGGAACACAUCAAGUGAAAACCAGUCUGAGCCCCACUGGGCUAGCACUUCUCAGCAGCCACCCGCCUGUCAUUUCACAGGCUCAGAACCAGGGUCUGGAAUGCAGGUGCCAGGACACUGAAGAAGCAGGGCUCAUCUCCAUAUCCAGAUGCGUUGAAAAUGAACUCCAUCCACCAGAAGCAAACAGCAGAGAGGCAGAAGCAGCCUAGUGCAAGCCUUCCUCCCCCUGGGUUGAAUUCUGCCCAUACUCUGUCUGAUGCCUUCAUCCCUUAGGUCGUGUGGGCAGCCCACUGUUUGGAGUUUUCAUGCUUGAGCUGGGCAAUUUGAUGUUCUUUCCAUAGCAAGAGAGCCCAGAAAUGGUCAUGAAAUCUACAUACCAAAGAGGGAAUCUUAUACAUGUUUCCUCAUGUUAUGUCUCCCAUUAGCAUGCAUGUAGAUGGGUGCACAGAAUAUGUGACAGCUGAGUGCCCGGCCCUGCAAGAGCAUCUGUGUCAAGAGUGCAUCGCUCCAGGCACUCUGGUCUGCAAAAGACAGUCCAGAGAAUGAGAAUGUGGGCACCAGGAGGAGGAAAGGGCCAGGAGGACCAGCACCUGCAGCUCUCCCUGUGCAGGAUGGUGGUGUGCACACUGCCGGGAGAAGACAGUCAUCAGUGCUCUGUGCAGCAGUCCAUUCUGUAUGCUGCAGUGCCCACCUGCUGGGGACGGUAUGCCCAAGAGUGCAAUCAUGGCCUGAGAGCUAGGACAAACAGCCCUGAAAAGGACAUAGUACCAGUACCACCAGAUACCAGGCACAACCUGCAAACCAGUAAUGAUUUACGCAAUGCAACAGAAAAGAAUAAAUCACAGGAGAAAGCUGCACGGGUGAGCACUUCCUGAGCUCUGAAUUCGGCGUCUGGGAUCUUUCUGAAUCUAGAAAUAAGCUACCUGGUUGUAGCUUACACCUGUCAGAUCCCAAGAAAAGCAGCCAGUUCUGAGAGUUUCAGGUCUCNAAACAAGAACAUUCAGAAGCACUCUGUAGGGAAGGAACUGUGUUCCCCUGAAGAUCAUCAGAAGCAUUCGCGGUGCAUGCAAACACUUGAAAGUACGCAUGUGGGAGCUCUUGGGUGUGCACACAGGCAAGUGCUGCUCCAUAGAGNAAAAGUGCAGUGAGAAUGAACUCCCUAGGCUGUGUAAAUGUUUCAUGUGUACAGCUUUUAGGUGUGAUCUCUAUAGCAUGGUCACAUAUGACCUGUGACAGCUGACUCUUGCCAUCCACAAUCAAGAGGAACUGCAAGUUUGAAGAAUCACUUUUAAUAACAUAAAGUUUACAAAUGUUUUUAAAGCCCUCAGCACUGGAACACACACACUCACAUGUGCUCAGAGACCAAAGAGAUUGAAUGGCUUGACUCUGCGGAGAGAAAGACUUGGCUGGCGAGCUUCUAAGAGGCAGAGGAGAGGCCCCGCUGUCGGGGAGGUCAUAUUUGCUUACAUGGAUUUAGCCUAUGGUGAGCANCCCCCGUCCCCCGUUCCUCCUGAAUGUUGAACAGCUCUCCUCAGUCUCCGUGGGACAAUAAUUGGGGCCUCUGUUUUGCUCUGGGAUAAUCACAUAUAUUAUGAUUACACUUCUCUCACCUGCCAAGAGAAAACUUGUCACAGUUGCCUGGGGCUCUCAAUCCCACUCUGUCAUAGCACACCUCAGUGAAGCCCCACCCGCCUCAGUCUUGUUGGGCGUGGCCAAUGAGUCCAGGCUCUCUCUCCAGUGGCCUUGCCCUCCUCAUCUCUGAGUGGACACACUGCUCAGCACCCUUUAUCCCAGCGUCUCUUCCGUCUCUGCCAAUGACUGCACACUGUGUGGAUGUGUAUGAAGCCCUUAGAUGAUGUAUCCCAGCUCCUCUGCUAAGGAGGAGCUCAGAACAGGAUGCAAAGGGAACUGAAUCCUCCUCCACAUAGAAUUAGUCAAGGAGCCGCCUCCCUGCCUCAUGCCUGCCUAUCUGCCUUCUUUUCCUGUGAGACGUGUCUCGCUCUCUAUCCAAGGCUGGCCAUGAACUUGUAGGAAGCCUCUGUUUGCAAAUGGCUGGGAUUACCGGCAUUAGUCACUACUAGAAUGGUUCAUUCUAACUAUUGAAUGGAAGCAAAAUUGUUGAUUCAAGGGUCUCUGAAAAUGAACCAAAUAUAAAGUCAUCCAAUCCAGUGUGGCCAGGAUUCGCCAUGCGCUGUUCCCUCUGUGCAGUGACAUGGACAGCUGCUGACCCUGGAUAUGUUCUUGGAGUGAGUGUCAUAGGAAGCCAAGAGGUAAGACAAUGUCAGAUCAAGGAGGAAUUCUCGUUCUUUACCAGUGUCCCACACAAGACUCUGCAUGUUUCUACCCCNUUAUGAGUUGUCCUUCAGGCAAAUGGAGGACCUGUGUCCACAGAUCAUGAUCACAGGGANCAGGACUUUGAUGGUCGGAACUGCCAUGGACAACCGAGCCCUGUGUCACUAAAGACCAGGCAGCCUGGGAUGGAAAUGCUAAGUCCUUGGGAUUCNCUGCAUGAGCCCCUCUUUGCCAUAAUGACCCAAAGUGGGCUGAAAAUUUCUUCUCCGAGUCAGGCCAAGGCUGACCGGGAGCUGUAACUAUGGACUUUGUUCUCAGCCUGAGUGGAUGAAGCAGUAUUUUUGGAUUUGACUGUGAAGUGAUUCUAAAGGAACUUAUGUGUGGGUUCAUGGACUCAAUAGGCAAGGUCUACCCUCAAUUCAGGUGGCGAUGUGAAGCCAUCAGAGCUUCACUGGAAGAAGCAGUGUAGGAGCAGACACUCCCGCUGCGUCUCUCCUGGGAUAGACGCUUUCUUUAUCUUUUUUUUUUUAAAGGAGAUCCAAGUUUAAUCAUUUUCUACUCAUUAAUUAAUGGCCAUGCUGAUCAAUAAGUCACAUGAAUGUAGAUUUCACUUUAUUUGAACACCACACACAAUACAAAUUUAAACUUGCCACACCCUUCCACAAACCAUCACUGCAUAUAAUAGAGCUCUUUUUUUUGAACAAAGUUAUUGAGCUAUUAUUAUAGAUCAAAAGCACAGUUUUGGGUUUUUUUUUGGUUUUUUUUGUUUUGUUUUUUUAAUUUAGAAGCAUGUUCAAAUGACUAAAGCUGGACUCCUAAAAUCGAGAGCUUUGGUGCAGUAGGUGAGCUGUGGUUACUGACUUCCGCAAAUCAAAAGCACACAAGUAAAACCAAAUAAAAACCCCAAAACAAAAUACCGUCAAACUUUGACAGUUGAAAAAUAAUUGCUAGAAAAAGGAUUCAUCAUCAUGAUAUUAAAACUGAACAAACAGAUUACUCAUGGU